UUCGCGUUGUAUUAAAACCCCCUCCCCCAUCGUCCUCCAAAUCCCUAGCCAUUUUCCUCUUUCGCCGCCGGCCACCAAAUCCCUAGCCGGCGUCGUCCUGCCGUCGCCCACUCCCUGCCCAGCACCGCUCACCGCCGGCGUCGCCGCUUUUGCAACGAGUUGUUCUUCCCCUGAAGCAUGUCUGCAUCGAGCUCCUGCCGCUCUUCUUGCCGCGGCGGCGGUCCAUUCAUCCCCCUCAUCUACUGCCGGUGGGGGUGUGGUUCCAUGGUGAAUAAGCAUGUUUCCGGCACAGAGGAUCACCCUGGAUGGGUGUACUACCGCUACCCGGUCAUGGUAAUGGAUGCAAUUUCUGGCAUUGGGAGAGGGAGUAUGUUGCUUACUUGGUGGAGAAGAUGUUUCUCACUGGAGAUAAUGAUGUGGAUGUAAUUGGGUGGUCUGAAGACAGGAGAGAAGAGUUGGAGCGGCGCAAUGAAGAGAGAAGAGCUAGAGGGAUGAUGGCAGUAGGAUUUAGGGGUUCAUGCUGUGAGGAGAGGAGUGAAUCUUUGUUGCAGGUUGGCAGGCAGAUUGUUCUUCUGUUGAAGAUAGCUCUGGCAGUAGGUGUGUGUGUGUGUGCUGUGUGUGACGCUGCUGAUGAAGUGAUGCAAGUGCUGUGUGUGAUGCUGCUGAGUAAAGGAGGAGUGAACUAUGUGUGUGAUGA